UACAGAGGUCUCAACCGUUGUUCGGAUUCAUUGGGCGUAAAGGGUGCGUAGGCGGUCGCGUAAGUCGGAUGUGAAAUCUCAGGGCUCAACCCUGAAACUGCAUUCGAUACUGCGUGGCUAGGGUACUGGAGAGGAGACUGGAAUUUACGGUGUAGCAGUGAAAUGCGUAGAUAUCGUAAGGAAGACCAGUGGCGAAGGCGAGUCCCUGGACAGUUACCGACGCUGAGGCACGAAGGCCAGGGGAGCAAACGGG
rnacentral:rRNA from 1 species